GUCUGUGUUGCUCCUUCACCCUCUGUUCUCUGUCUUCAUGUGUUCCCUGAGGUCCUGGUUUGUUCCUCGUGGUUUUGUCUUGGUUUUCUGAUCUUUGUUUGUCUUCAUUCUUCGUGAAACACAAGCCUGGCUCAAGGAGAAGUCACGCAGGAAGGAGGAUUUUGGAGGAAACUGUGCGAACCCACCUCAAUGUCGAGACAUCUUCUUAGCCGAUGUCAUGCCCUGUCAUGGAUUCCAGCUGAGGAGAUCAACUGGUCCAGUUCCAAAACCUUUGCAUCAACUUCACGGUUAUAAACCUGCUCAGGUAGUCCCGGCGUAGCUGGCACAACAACUGGCUCCUCAACUACAACCUCUGGUACAACUGGGUUCUCUGGGGGAGGAGGAGGAGGCAACUCGCUGAUGGAGUCCACCCUG